GCACUCGCUUCGGCAGCACAUAUACUAAAAUUGGAAAGAUACAGAGAUUAGCAUGGCCCCCACGCAAAGAUGACACACAAAUUCAUGAAGUGUUAAAAAUAACU
rnacentral:snRNA from 1 species